rnacentral:rRNA from 1 species
CCUACGGGGGGCUGCAGUGGGGAAUAUUGGGCAAUGGGCGCAAGCCUGACCCAGCAACGCCGCGUGAAGGAAGAAGGCUUUCGGGUUGUAAACUUCUUUUCUCAGGGACGAAGCAAGUGACGGUACCUGAGGAAUAAGCCACGGCUAACUACGUGCCAGCAGCCGCGGUAAUACGUAGGUGGCAAGCGUUAUCCGGAUUUACUGGGUGUAAAGGGCGUGUAGGCGGGACUGCAAGUCAGAUGUGAAAACCCCGGGCUCAACCUGUGGCCUGAAUUUGAAACUGUAGUUCUUGAGUACUGGAGAGGCAGACGGAAUUCGUGGGUUAGCGGUGAAAUGCGUAGAUAUUAGGAGGAACACCGGUGGCGAAGGCGGUCUGCUGGACAGCAACUGACGCUGAGGCGCGAAAGCGUGGGGAGCAAACAGGAUUAGAUACCCGGGUAGUC